CCUACGGGAGGCAGCAGUAGGGAAUCUUCCACAAUGGACGAAAGUCUGAUGGAGCAACGCCGCGUGAGCGAUGAAGGCCUUCGGGUCGUAAGGCCCUGUUGUUAGGGAAGAACAAGUACCGUUCGAAUAGGGCGGUACCAUGACGGUACCUAACCAGAAAGCCACGGCUAACUACGUGCCAGCAGGCGCGGUAAU
rnacentral:rRNA from 1 species